rnacentral:lncRNA from 1 species
UGCUUAUUAGUUUUUUGUGUUUUAGGGUGCUGACUACCAGAUAGAAAGGACAGGCUUGACAAUGGACUCUAGAUAAACUCAGCCUAAGAGCCACUUUUUCUAAAGCUCUGCUCUGUUUGAUAAGAAGGGUGUCACAUACCCUCCGAUAUGGGACCUUUUCUGACUGACAUCACAGGAAAGGUACCGAGGGACAAGGCACAAGGUGGCUGCAGCCUUCAGAAAAGAAGAAAAUGCCUACAGGGACAAGGGGCAAAGUUGCAAGCCUCAAAGAGUCACUGACCAAAGUGCUUUCCCACAACGUGGCCUGCUUGAAAUCCUCUUCAAAUUACAGUCAUAAUAUGUGGGUGAUAUUCUGCUAUGCACCCCAUUAGAAAAAUUUUCUAGUCAGGGCAACUGGCCCCUGCUAAAAUUUUUGGCAGGUAGAGAAGGUAUAAAGUCUCCAGGUCUAAGGCACAACUUUGCAGUUCUGAAGUCAAAUAUUUGGACCUUAUCAUAUCCAAAGGAACUGGAAGACUAAGGGGAAAAAAAUUAAACCCAUACUCUCCUUCCCACUGCCCAAGACCCUAAAAAGAGCUAACAGGCCUUGGGUAGCACAAUAUGGCAAGAUAACAUGACCUCUUUAUCAACUAAAAGGAAACCCAGGGCUGGAGAUUUUAGCUCAGUGAUUCUGAUGCCUGCCUUGCAAGCGCAAGGUCCCGAGUUCGAUCCUCAGUACCAAAAAAAAAAAGGGCAACAGGAUAUGCUACAGUAACUCUGUGAGAGACACUUGGGAGCUGCUCACUCAGCCCUGGAACAAAUGCUCAGUUAGCAGAACUUACAGCCCUGACAGUGUAAAAAUAUGAAAAGAAAGGAACUCUUUAACAGCCUGUGGGUCUCCCCUAAAAUUCCAUAGAAGAGAAACUCCUGAUGUGUUUACUUGCCUUCAAAAGUGGCAGUAACACAUUGCAGAGGCACCAGAAGGGUAUGGAUGAGGUGGCACAGGGUACAUCCAGCUACAGAAAAUGCUGCUCCAGCCCCUAGGAUCUGGAAGUGUCCUUAUCCCAGACUCGGCCCAAGGACUCUCAACCAGAUGAGAAACACACGCCAAGCAUUGGGACUCAGUCCUUUCAAAAUGCUUUACAGGUGAC